rnacentral:rRNA from 1 species
CCUACGGGAGGCAGCAGUGGGGAAUAUUGCACAAUGGGGGAAACCCUGAUGCAGCGACGCCGCGUGAGCGAUGAAGUAUUUCGGUAUGUAAAGCUCUAUCAGCAGGGAAGAAAAUGACGGUACCUGACUAAGAAGCCCCGGCUCACUAUGUGCCAGCAGCCACGGGACUACGUAGGGGGCAAGCGUUAGCCGGAUUUAAUGGGUGUAAAGGGAGCGUAGAUGGCGGUGCAAGCCAGAUGUGAAAGCCCGGGGCUCAACCCCGGGACUGCAUUUGGAACUGUGCUGCUAGAGUGUCGGAGAGGCAGGCGGAAUUCCUAGUGUAGCGGUGAAAUGCGUAGAUAUUAGGAGGAACACCAGUGGCGAAGGCGGCCUGCUGGACGAUGACUGACGUUGAGGCUCGAAAGCGUGGGGAGCAAACAGGAUUAGAUACCCGGGUAGUC